rnacentral:rRNA from 1 species
UACAGAGGUCUCAAGCGUUGUUCGGAUUCAUUGGGCGUAAAGGGUGCGUAGGUGGCGGGGGUAAGUCUGGUGUGAAAAUCUCGGGGGCUCAACCCCCGAAACUGCACUGGAUACUGCCUUGCUAGAGUACUGGAGAGGAGAUUGGAAUUUACGGUGUAGCAGUGAAAUGCGUAGAUAUCGUAAGGAAGACCAGUGGCGAAGGCGAAUCUCUGGACAGUUACUGACACUGAGGCACGAAGGCCAGGGGAGCAAACGGG